AGUCGACGAAGAGUUAUUAAAUGAGAGCUUCGGCAGGAAUUUAAUAAAUCUUAGUGGCGGACGGGUGAGUAACGUGUGGGCAACCUGCCUUAUACUGGGGAAUAAUCACUGGAAACGGUGACUAAUACCGCAUAAUGUCUUUUUACGGCAUCGUAGGAAGAAGAAAGGAGCAAUCCGGUAAAAGAUGGGCCCGCAUCUGAUUAGCUUGUUGGUGAGAUAACAGCCCACCAAGGCGACGAUCAGUAGCCGACCUGAGAGGGUGAUCGGCCACAUUGGGACUGAGACACGGCCCAAACUCCUACGGGAGGCAGCAGUGGGGAAUAUUGCACAAUGGGGGAAACCCUGAUGCAGCAACGCCGCGUGAAGGAAGAAGGUUUUCGGAUCGUAAACUUCUAUCAAUAGGGACGAAAUAAAUGACGGUACCUAAAUAAGAAGCCCCGGCUAACUACGUGCCAGCAGCCGCGGUAAUACGUAGGGGGCAAGCGUUAUCCGGAAUUACUGGGUGUAAAGGGAGCGUAGGCGGCAUGGUAAGUAAGAUGUGAAAGCCCGAGGCUUAACCUCGAGGAUUGCAUUUUAAACUAUCAAGCUAGAGUACAGGAGAGGAAAGCGGAAUUCCUAGUGUAGCGGUGAAAUGCGUAGAUAUUAGGAAGAACACCAGUGGCGAAGGCGGCUUUCUGGACUGAAACUGACGCUGAGGCUCGAAAGCGUGGGGAGCAAACAGGAUUAGAUACCCUG
rnacentral:rRNA from 1 species